AUCAACUUUCGAUUGGUAGGAUAGAGGCCUACCAUGGUGGUAACGGGUAACGGGGUGUUAGGGCACGACACCGGAGAGGGAGCCUGAGAAACGGCUACCACAUCCAAGGAUGGCAGCAGGCGCGCAAAUUACCCAAUCCCGACACGGGGAGGUAGUGACAAUAAAUAACAAUACGGGGUUCUUUCGGAUCUCGUAAUUGGAAUGAGUACAAUUUAAAUCUCUUAACGAGGAACAAUUGGAGGGCAAGUCUGGUGCCAGCAGCCGCGGUAAUUCCAGCUCCAAUAGCGUAUAUUAAAGUUGUUGCAGUUAAAAAGCUCGUAGUUGAAUUUCGGGGUUAGUAGGCUGGUCAUGCCACCGGUAUGUACUGGUCUUACUGAUUCCUCCUCCCUGAUGAACUGUAAUGCCAUUAAUUUGGUGUUGCAGGGAAUCUGGACUGUUACUUUGAAAAAAUUAGAGUGUUUAAAGCAGGCUAACGCUUGAAUACAUUAGCAUGGAAUAAUGAAAUAGGACGUUCGAUCCUAUUUUGUUGGUUUCUAGGAUUGACGUAAUGAUUAAUAGGGAUAGUUGGGGGCGUUAGUAUUCAAUUGUCAGAGGUGAAAUUCUUGGAUUUAUUGAAGACUAACUACUGCGAAAGCAUUUGCCAAGGAUGUUUUCAUUAAUCAAGAACGAAAGUUAGGGGAUCGAAGACGAUCAGAUACCGUCGUAGUCUUAACCAUAAACUAUGCCGACUAGGGAUCGGAUGAUGUUAAUUUUUUAAUGACUCAUUCGGCGUCUUACGGGAAACCAAAGUGUUUGGGUUC
rnacentral:rRNA from 1 species